UGUGUGAGAUGAGUCUUUCCACCAAGCUACGGCUGAAAUCCUCCCUGACAACCACCCGAAGAACCGCCACAUUUUCAGCAUUAGCAGGCAUUGUAUAGGCCGGAACUAUCCACCCAAACUUUCUCAAACCCUCGGAUAUCUCAAACACGGUGUGUGCGCUGCUGUCCUUCAAAGAAAAGGCUACUAAGGGUACGCCAACAUCCUUGGAGAGAAUUUCAAAGCGCCCUGUUUUCUCUAAUCCUUCUCUUAGCGCUCUAGCAUUCCCCAUGCAAUUUUCCAUAAUGUUCUUGUAACCCUAGUUUACAGGACAAGAAAAGGACAUACCUUGAGACUUGAAAUAAAAGUAAAGGUAAUUUCCUGGACAAAUACAGGCCAAAUUGUACAUUUUAUUGAAUAUAUGAGCAGUCAGAAUCAUUUCAAAUCUAGCAAACACUAGUCAGUUUAAUAUCCAAAAAACAUGAGACAACAAGAAAAUUGAUCCCAUCACAACUGAUCGAUUUUGGUGCAUCAGUUCUCAACCUCAUUUUGUCAAUGUCUACCGGUAACAAACUAACUUUAACUGAUGAACUUUAACAAUAUGCCAUAUGAACACUUACAAAUUAACAGGAUUUCAUAGUACAUGCAAAGUGUCAUAAAAGUAGGAGGAAUGUAUCACAAAGAAACUUGAGAGUUUUUUAUGAUCAACACAACAAAA
rnacentral:lncRNA from 1 species